GAUGGUUAGGGUUGAUAUACUGUGGCUGGUUAAUACCUGGCCUGGGGAGGUAGAAGCAGCUUGUGUCUUUAUCGUUUGUUUUUAUUUUAUAGCUUUUGGCAGAUACCCAGAGAACUAGAUGAGUCCCCUUGUUUUCUCCUGUUGCAAAACCCCCACAACCCUAUGCUAUGCAUCACUGAGUAUAUAAACAUAAAAAAUAGCCUCUGACACAGCGCGGGGCUCUGUUUCUGCAGGAAUGCUGUGUACUUCGGUGAACCGGGGAAGUAUCGUCGUGCCCUGCUCACGCGUGGGGAGCGAGACCCCAGGACAUCCCGCUCUUCUGCAGGCAGGAGGUGGUUUCCCGCGAGAGCAGCGGGCUGGGCCUGCAGAGCAGGAGUCGCAGUAGCUUCCCAAGUCUCCAGCAGAACCAGGGGCUCGAUGUCCUGCCUUUGAGCCUGGUUUGUUACCCACAACCAUCUCCUCUGUGUGUUUGUUACUGCAUUGGAGACACGAAUGAUGAACUCUGCGCAAGGGGUCCCUUUGUUUCUGGCUACAGAAAAUGUUGAGAGACCUCUGCUUGGAAACUGAAGCGCUGCCCAUUAAUUGCCACCAAAAUUGCUGUGGAGCAUCGCUACCCUCAGCACAGGCAGCAACAGCUUGGGAGCAGGAGGUCUUUUCCAAAGGUCUUUGGAAGCUCUUGGCUAAGCCAAAGUAACCUUGAAAGAAGGAUGGAAAUUUUGAAGAUAAUCAAGCACCUGCUUUCAAAAACAGGUUUCUUUUGCUCUCUGGGCAUUCCCUGUUUCCCUCCCGGCCGGGGCCGGUACUUGAGCUCCUGCAGUCGGUGGAGAGGGACCUGCGGGCGUGAGCGGAUGGUGUUCCCCGAGCGGAGGGCUCCUCGGCGAGGAACUGUCACCGGAAUACACCCUGGAAAAUGUCCAGGUGCCUGGCCUGGAGACAGCUCAGGAAACAAACCUCGGAGGCAGAGUUGCAUAGACCUGGCUGCAUCAGCAUCUCUGCUGGUGGCUGGCGUGUUGCUGGCACACGGGCGUUAGCGAUGGCCAGGUCUGCAGAGCCACGAGCUGGCGUGGUGCAGCGGACCCCAGCGCUUUGGGCGAGCUCCCGCCUGGCCCAGCACUUACCCCGGGGAUGUGUGCCGGUGGGGACGCGAGGCAUCGUCCAAGGUCACCCCCCAAAGGCUGCAUUCGUGUGUCCCGGCUGGCGUCAGUCAGCGUGCUCCUCCAGGGCUGAGGAGACAGAAAAGAAGAGAAAAGCCACCAGAAUCUGCCUACUCUUCAUGUAGCUUCUGCAUAUCGCAUGGGCCGUGGUCAUUAACUCAGGUUUGCCGGAUCAAAGCCUCAGAGACGGGAGAAAACAGUGUGUUUCCAAGUGUGUGAGUGCACGUGAGGGAGCAGUUCAGGUGGGAGCUGAGCUGAGAGCGAGGGAAGUUAUUUCGGUUCAUUUCUGUUGUCAGCUUUGCUUUGGUUGGAGGCUUUUUGAGACUGUCGGUGAAACAGUGCUCUGCCACAGCCACUGUAGUGGCUGCCUGCACCCAAACGGCACACCCUGCGCAAGGGGCAACAUUGCCAUCAUGUCAUGGCUGCCACCAUCACAGUGCCUUAAACAAGCUUCAAGGUGACACCGUAGUCACUCAGAAAUUACAGAGAUGUGUUAGAGAGUGACAUUCGUGUCAUCCUGAUACAAUGGUGACAUUAGCAUCUAAUUAUCUUGUAGUCAAUUUAACAUCAGUCACAUCCUGUAUAUCAUGUAUCGUACCACCUUGACUAACUGAAUCUCCGGGGGACGUUAAAUAAGUUCAGAUCACCAAGAAUUCACGUGAUCGAGGAAGUGUUCAAUGAAUUCGAUAGGCAUUGCAGCGCUGAGCUGUGUUCAAUAAAUUCGAUAGGCAUUGCAGCGCUGAGCUGUGUUCUGAACGACCAGGUGGUUUGCUGCUGUAAGGCCUGGAUAAAGAGGGAUGCACAUAAUGGUGAAAAUGGAUAGAAAGGAAAACAAGAGACUUGGAUGUGGAAGACCAGAGCGGAAUAGCAUUAUGGCCGUCUGGCUUCCAGAGCCACCCAGCACGCCGAGACCUGGUGUCCGCUGGAUGUGGCAACAGAAACCCCAGUUUUCCUGGGAGGAGGAUCCCCGUGGUCAGCCCAGUGCAAUUAUAGCUGACCCAACUUAAAUCUGUUCAGCUUCUUCCUACUGUUAGGGCAUCACCAAUUUCUCAUUAGUCCCAGCUGCAGCCGGGGCUGUCACGGUGUUAUUGUAUGAGACAGCAAAACUUAGUUUGUACGAUGGGGUGAUCGUUCCUGUCAUUCCUGAAGACUGAUUGUUUCAUCCAGUCAUCUGAGACAUCACUGAGGUUGGUCAAGUGAUAGGAGAAAACAGUGAGUUAUUCCACAAAAAUUCCAAUGUGAGCGAGAUAAACGAUCCGCAUUAAAUGAUUCGGCCAGGUAUGCAGUCCUGAAGUGUUCUGCUCUCCUGUGAGAUUCUCAUUGUCUCCGAAAGGGUGAAUUUUACUGAAUACUACUGAGCUCUUCUGUAAGAGCAUGCACGUUACUCUCAAACAAUACCGCUGUUGUUCCUAAUAAGGACUCCUGAAGAACAGCUGUGAUGUUAGGGUUCUGGGAGUCUAGCCACCAGAAUGCUUUCCUCCAUUUAAUUAGGUAACAGUCUACGUAUUUCAGAAAUAAUGUCUCUCCCUCAAGACCUAUUUGUUGUAAGUGUCAAGUUUUCUGUUUCUCAAUUACCCUUUUUUCAGGAAGCACUUCUGAUUUUGAUUGAUCUUCGGUUGUUAUUAAUGCCUUCCUGGCUGUUUUAUCCAGAAAUAAGAACUAUAAAUUCAUAUCCCUGAAUGUAAUCAUACCUGUAUUACAGCCCCAUCACAGAAAACAAAACAAAAAAAUGAAUGCGUCUUUAUAUCUCAGUAUUAUUCAAACAAGUUCUUAUUUUUCUUUUCUUUAUGGGUGACCCGGUUUGGGGAUAGUUUUAUGCAUGUUUAUUGCGUAGGUAAUCACACCUAAAUAGUAUCUCCUUGCUUAGCACUUAAGGUCACUUAAGGUAAUUGCAAAACUUAGUUUUAAUGACAUGGUUAGUAAUGAAUUGCAUUGGCUACCGAGUGCAGUUGUCAGCUGCUUAGAUAUUCACAGGGGAAAUCUUAUCGUUAUUCACAGAGACAGAGAAACAAACAUUAAAUUUAAUUGCACUACGGAGCACCAGAGUCAUAAUCUUUAUAUGACAGUUAAUGCUUUCAUUACUUAUCAAUUCGCUUAUUAUGUUACUCUUUCAAAAUGCUAAGCAUCUGACAAAUAUAAGUAGAUCUUUCUCUCCUACAUAUGUAAAGACAGAUAAAUGACAAAGAGUAUGAUUGAAUAAGUAUACCAAAUAAUUUUAUUUUAUGUGAAUAGUUUUACUAACUCCUGAUGGCAUCGUUAUAUAUCUUGUUAAAAACAUAUCCCUUUCAAAUUUAAAAUAAAGUUUUCAUCCAUUUUACGUAGGCCUUAUUUCAACAAAGACUGCAGUACCUCGUUAGGCUUAGGCAGUUCCUGAAGCAGAUCCUUUUCCAGAAGCAUUCUUAGGCGCAGACUCGUCCAGCAGGAUUCCGACAGGCACGAUUAACAUGAGGUGUGAUUCAUGACUCCUGCUCAGGCUGGGAUAAAUCUGGUGGUAAAAACUGGGAAUCAUUAUUAGGAGGGAGGAUGACACAGUCUGUGUCCCAGGAAUCUCGCAAUCAGAAACUGUGAUGUGGGAGCACCGUCGUGCAAAGGCAUGCUGGAGUAACGACCCGAGUCCUGGCCAGCCCUUCAGACCAAAGUGGAGGUGCCUUCCCGUGGUGAUGCUGGUUUGGGCUCUGAUGAAGCCCCACCUCUGGAGCGACAGCUGGACCUGGGUAGGAGCUGCGUGCCAGGCACGGACAGUCGGAGAAGUCAACGCGAGAGUGAAACAGCCUGCUCUGGAUUCUUCCUCUGCACUUACCAGGCAGAAGCCCACACCUGGCGGUAAAGGCUGCUCGCCUGAGCCAACAUCCGCAACUAAGCUUUGGUUUGCUUCCCACCGGACUCCGGGGCGUUCGCUCAAAAUCCUAAGGGUGUUGGAAACGCUCCCUGCUGCUGAUCACACAUUUUAGAAGAAUGAUCUUGUGGAACUGCCACCGGUCUGUGCUCUACUUCCCAGACACCCAGCUCUCCGCAGGUCUCUGUAAGUCAGUUGGGUUUUGUGUUUCAAAGCCUAUAUUGUCCAAAAUGCAGAGGUAAUGUUUAAGGAAAAAAAUCACAAUAGUGGAGGAUUUUGGAUUAGCUGAGUUCUCUUACCUUUAGAUCAAUGACCGACAAGGACGAUUUCUAGUUUGCUGCAGUGCAGACACAAAGCUGGGUGUUGUUGUUUGUUACUGUUUAAUAAACAACAACCUGUGGAUAGAAGAUGGCGCUUUACAGACUGGUAACAGGCUGUGCUGUCGUGAAGGUGAUGCACUGCAUCUAACCCGUCUGGUAAUGGACACCGGGCUUUUCAUCUCUCAUUGAUUUUUGCAAGAUGGGUUUUAUCGGCGGAGCUGCAUACCCUCUAGGUUCCUCCUGAAUACCGAGUAUAUUCAUUAAAGCGUAGAGAGGAGCUCAGGACAGACUUAGUCCAUUAAUCACUCGCACAUAUAAUGACCUUCAUGCCUCUAUGUCAAAGUGGCCGGCCACGUCAGCCCGAGUGGCAACGCCGAAACCGGUGAGUUCUCAGCCCAGGCGAGGAGCAGCCCCGCGCGCUCUCCGCAGGGGGAGCGGAGCCCUGCGAGGAGCACGAGCCUGCGAAGAGCUGGUCCCAGGAGGUAAACAGUGUGGCCAAAAGCCACCAGCCAUGGGAGCGCCAGCCAUCCCAGCAGACCCCGGCAAGGCGGGUGCCGGGGAGAGGGCAGCCCCUGCCGCCUCCGCGCCAUCAGCGCCCGUGCUGGACCCGGCCCUCGCUGCGGGAGCUGGGGGUGCCUGCGGGGUAAUGCGGGGCUGAGAGGUCCUCACCAACAGAAGGUGGUGUUCAUCUUUAACAUGCUGAUAUCCACAGAGAGGAUAUUUUGACCCACUGAAAUGAACUCCUGUACAGGUUGCUCACAACUUAUUUGCAUAGUUGUUCCAUGUCCAGAGUCCUUUUCAGUGGCAAAGAAUGAUCAUUAAGGCAAAUUGGAAAUCAAAUGAACAGACAUGUUGUGCUUUCAGUGAUUAUGCCAGCAUUUUAAAACUGUGAUUACAGCAUAGAAUGAGGCAGAACAUAUUUCUUUAAAAGGAAUUAUAUACAAAAGCAUGAAACUUUUUUCUGCAACUAUUCUGAUAACAGAGUGCAAAGACUGCACAAACAGGACAGCCAGCCAGGAGAAGAUGUUCAGCUUGAGUGAACUUUCUGCCUGUGCUGGUGCCUUUUCUCCGCUGCUGCGGCACCGGGUGCUUCGAACGCGGCGAGACCCUGCGAAGAAUCAUAGAAUCAUAGAAUCUUCAUGGUUGGAAAGGACCUUUAAGAUCAUCGAGUCCAACCAAACAACCUGCAAUCUCUGCCACUAGAGCAUGCCCUGAAGUGCCACAUUUAGAUGUUUCUUAAACACCUCUAGGGAUGGUGACUCAACCCCCUCCCUGGGCAGGCUGUGCCAGGGCCUGACCACUCUUUCAGUAAAGUCAUUCUUCCUCAUAUCUAACCUAAACCUCCCCUGCCGCAGCUUCAGACCAUUUCCUCUGGUCCUGUCAUUCUUCACCUGGGAGAAGAGGCCAACACCCCCCUCUCUCCACCCUCCUUUCAGGGAGUUGUAGAGGGCAAUGGGGUCUCCCCUCAGCCUCCUCUUCUCCAAGCUAAAGAAGAGACUGUGGCCCCUUGCAGCUGCCGAACCCAGCAUCCAUACAACCUCAAGGACUCACCCCUUGAUGCUAAAGAGCAAUCUGAUCCUCAACGUCAGAGCUUUUGUGCAGGGAUGUUUGGCUUGUGUUUCUGCGGGACUGUUGCAGGAGGCAGCCCUGGGCAGCACACUGCCCUCACGCUGCCCGGCCCAGGGCGGACGGGGAGCCAGCGCACCCCAGCAUGGUCCGGUGCCCUUCUGAAGGAGGGUCUGUGCUGCCCUGGUGCGCUGCCUCGGGGGGAAGAGCACGUGCCGCGGGGAAGAGCACCCCAGCAGGAGCCGUGAUGGAGCCGCAAUGGGGAGCUGAGGGUGGGCUCCUGUGCCUCGGGAGCACGUGCAUCAGGCAGGGACGGGCAGGAGCGAUGCUCGGCCGGGAGCCACAGCCAAAGCACGCGCCAAACGGAGGGAUGAUUUGAGGAUGCUCAGUGAAGUUACAAAAAGAGCACUUGGGCUAACUGGGGAUGUGGGUCUCAGCCACCUUCCCAGAUGGGUCCGUAUGCUCACGGUGUGCGUGUAUUCAGUCAGGAGUAACUGGAUCUUGUCGGUGUCUCUCAGAGUGAGAUCAAACUUUACAGUUCAUCCCAACCUUCUGCCUUUUCUCCUUUGUUUCUGGAGUUUUCCUUCUCUUUUGCCCGUUGUGGCGUUUUGGCAGGGGUGGGAGGUGUGUCACGAGUGCAGAUCCUGCAGUGAACGCCAGAUUGCUUACCGCACAUCAAGGGCCGAUGUGGUUGGCAGAGCUCUCCCAAAGCGAGCUGGGCACGGCAGGAGAAACGAGGGGAAACUUAACAAAGUGCUGACCUUCCACUGUCCCGAAAGGACCCCGUCACGGCAGUGGCCCCAGCGAAGCGGUGGGUUUCCGCAGCAGGGCUGCCACUGAGGGCACCGCCAGAGCCCCGUACCUGGGCACGCGUGGGGCUCUGGGCAGGAGGGGUUGGACAAACCUGAGAGGAAAUGUCUGUCUGCUAAAGCGAGCGUGGCCUUGAGCACGGAAACGCUGUCAAACGGGGCUGUCUGUGGCUGAGAUCGCUUGUUUCCCACUUGAGUUGGAAUGCUCAAACUGCUGCUGUGAUGCAGCCUAUGAGCUGUGUAAGUGAUACAAAACCACUUUUUAAUUUAUCCCGAAAUGGUUCUGAUACACUGAAAAUAGUGAUCAUGCCAACUGCUUUUGAUUUACUUUUCUUUCUCAUCCACAGUGCUGUAUACUUUCCAGAUAACUCCAGUGGUUUUGGAGAUUUUGCCAAUUCUUUUGUUUUCCUCCACCAAAUCUCUGCUGGGCUUUGAAAAAAAGAGGAGACUCUAUCAGCUUUAUUUGUGAGGUUUCGCUGGCUGUCCUCAGGACACCCGCAUUCGAGCAGCUUGUCUGGGGAUUUUUAGUUAACUGCUGGGGAAGCUGCUUUAUGACAAAAGUAUGAUUAAUGAUUGCUUUUGCAUGUUUCUUAUAAAUGAGAUGCUCUGUCACUAAAUAAAUACACAAAUAAAUGGGCUGGGUGUAAAAGAACAUGUUUUUCAUCAAAAAUGACAUCCUUAGUUGUGAAUUUUAACAGAUGUCAUGAAACCAAAGAUAUUGUAAUCUAUUAGCAAAAGCCUUUGAAGUUCUAUUUUAAUUAACUUGCAAAGCCAUCAGGACUCUUGGAGAGAAAAUGGUAUGUGUAGUGUAUCUCAAGAACUGCUUGAACGUGAUCCCCAGGAUGCGAUGGGCAUGGCUGGAGAACAGAAGCACAGAGCACAGAAGCUGAGAGCAGUCACUGCUGUAGCAGCGCGCAGUUGAUAUUUAGCAAAGAAACCCUGGCACGGAAAGCAACUGAAAAAAUUGCUGCCGCUGCCUUAAAGAACCCUUCUUAUUCCCGCAGCAACGGAGAAAGGCUCUGAUGCUGAAGCCAGCGUUUGAAGAAGCUGAGCCUUAACAGAAGCAGAGAAUGGUAUAUCCCGGCGUGAGAGUAUAUUCCCAUACAGAUGGUGAAUUUAUUUUAAAUCGUUUUCCCUGGAUGCUCUUGCAUCCAAAGGCCCAGCCGGGCAAAAGCAGGAGCCCCAGCACCAAACAGGGCUCAGCUUCUCUGGUAAACAAAAAUGCGUCUUGAACUUUGGGUGAUGGUGUCGCGUGUGAACCUGAAACACGUAUCUCGGGUGGAGCAGGUACCCUAAGUGCCCAGAACUGGGUCUGAAGGCAGUUUUCAGCUUGCUCUCCUCCCGUGCUGCCCGAGGCAGACACCAGCGUGGUAAGGAUCGCUGCCCCUUCGUGGCCUUUGGGCAAACGCCGGGGCUGAUCUUCAGCAAGCACAGUGCGGCGUCUGCGUUGUGUGCGCGUCGCUGGGCACGCUGUCGCACGCUGCAGGCACCUUGCAGCUUUUCUUCUCCAGAAACCUCUGACUGAAUGAAAGAAGACUGGGACCGCAGUGGAUUUAUCUCGGAAUAUAUUCUAUUGACUACGGCUGGAGUUCCUGCUCGCUUUAUAGCAUCGCUGUUUUCUGACUGAAGGGAUGGCAUCCCUGGCUGUGUCACGCUGCUGCGUUGUGGAGGUGUCCCACCCGGGGUACAGCCGUUCUCACACACCGUCCGUGGUGUGCUUGGGCACCAGCAGCACAGCUCUCACAGAAGUAAUUUUUGCUCUUGUUCACCUAAAAUAGCCAUAAGAAGACAGAUGAAACCCUCCUGCCCUAUGUGUAUUUUUAGAGAAGUAUGGUGGCUCGACUGGUCGCUCCGAGUCAGUGUCAGUAACCUUGUCCUGGCCAGGUGACUUGCACUGCUGAAUUGCCAUAUUUUUCUGGAUAUCACCAGAAAUUGUGUUACUUGUGUUCAUCGGUUACCUUAAUUUUUACAGGUCAGGUCAUUCAGUGUAGCUGAGCCAUCUCUUUUAUCUCGGGCGUGCUCCACGCAGGUAGUCGCAUUCUCUCCGCUCCCAAAAGCCGCUGGCACUCAGGCAGUCGGGUCUCUGUCACGGCGGCGUUGAUGCCCCGAACCACUGGGUACCGCUUGGCUUCAGACCAUGAAACUGCGGCCCAUUUUCCCUGGGGGGUGCCAGGACGUUAGUGGGGCUGGCCAGGAGAACGCGGAGCCGCGAUGGUCCGGGCUGUGCCCCAGCUGCCAGCGCCGCCCCCAGCCCGGGCAGGCGGGUGGAGGGACACAAACUGGUGCCAGUGCUGGAGGGGUGUUCUACUUGGAAAGGAAUUAAUCCCGGAAAGUUUUAUGUCCAAGCCAUAAUGGAUGCUCACAGCAGCUCUUCCUGGCUACGGACCCACCGUUACUUGCUGCAGUUACUUUGUCUGGGGCAGGACCAGCCCCUCACCCCCAGACGGAGCGCAGAGCCCGGCCGAUGCGAACCCGGGCCAGCAGCGCUGGUGUCUGCGUCUGCGUCGCCGUGGCUAAUCAACACCUCAGCUAAAGCGGGUUUGAUUCCAAGAAGUCUUACAGACCCCAAUAAAGAUCAGUAAUCAUUAAAAUUAACCACACGCUGAUUUAAUCAACAUAUAGCUUUGUUAAUUACAAGCUCUUUCUUCGUGUCCAUCUGUUUUAAAGAUUUUCGUGAACCUGCAGCAGAUGUUCAUGUAAAUAUAAUAAGCCGGUUGCCAUGUAAAUAUAAAAUUUUCAGGAGUGUUUGUGAAACAGACAUCCAGUUUAUUUGUGGUGUUGUCAGUAUCACCUUUUCAGUGGCUUAAACACAAGACCGAUAACUUUGUUAAAAUCCCCGUUAGAGACAGUCUCUGCUGUGCCUGUGCCUGCCCCCCCCGCCCCGCUCCCGUGCGCGGUGCUGGAUGGCCCCGGCCCUGGCUGGAUCCCUGGAGGGGUACAAUAAAUCCUUUCUGCGCUCAGUGAGUACGGUUCCGUCACCGCGAGGGGUGUCAGUGGGGAGGGGUUGGUGCAGCACCUUUCCCGUCCCCCCCUGCUGCCUGCCGGGCCAGGAGAGGUGGCAGGGGAUGCCCGCGCGGGUCCCACCGGGGGCCAGGGGGCCCAGGGGACACAGCGGCCAAACCGGGCUGGUGUGACGGUGCAGAAACCGCACUCAUUUUAAAACAUGAAAUUGCUUUUUAAAAAUGAAUACCCUGUGACAUAAACUGAAAAAACCCCUAUAUUUUACUUUGCCACUAGUGACUCAAUGGGGCGCAUUUUGCUGGAUUAAUGUUUUUCUAGUGAAACAGAAUCCCCAAUGCAAUGGGGAAAAAAAUGCAUGAAAAAGUCUUACAUUUGCAGAAGAGCUUUAUUUUGCUGAAAAUACUUUAAAAGUUUAAGACUUAGCUUUUGAGUCCAUAAGCUUAAUAACAGCUUUGUUUUUUUUUUUAUUUGGCAGCGUGUGGGGCUGUUUCUGUGUGUGUGGGAGCUGCGGAUCGGGUCCGUGGAGAUCUUUGUCCACGGGAGCAUGGCUCUGGGUAAGGUUCUUCCCGGCGGCCUGCAGCCUAGAAGCCACGGAGGCAGAGUCGGGGCGUGCGGAGGAAACCUGGCUCUGUGAUUGCCUGCGUUUGAGCUUUCUUGGAUGAGAACUAGGCUAUUGACGGAAUUGCCCGAGUUCCCUGCGUGAGAGUACUCUGACAGCCGGUCUCGCUCUGCGGGACAGGACAGGUCCCACUGCAUCACUGGGAAACAGGCGCUUCUCCAAGGGAAGCAAACUGGGAGCCCUGGGGGGCUCUGGCUGCGGUGAGUCAUUCACGCCGUUUGUGCUGUGGUGAGAAGAGCCGGGACAGGGUCUGGCGAGGGGUGGUACGGAUGCGGUGGGGUCCGUGCGCUCCUGGGGGUUGAGCCAUGAGCAGUUCUGGUGGCACAGCCCGACCCUCCCUGGAGCGCGGGCUGCGACCCCUGAAAAUAGGCAGUGCCGGCUGUUCCUGUGCCGGGUGGCAAUCCGUCCUCAGCCCAUUAACCUCGGAAAACACACCACUGGAACUCCGUCAGCCUUCACAGGAAUGAAUACAAUAGGUUCAGGUUGUGAAUUCAGGGAGGAAUCUCUUUUUUUGUUAAGUGUGUGCAAAGAAGGCCCUGGUCGAUAGAAGGGGUUCCUAACUGUGCCUGUGGUGCACUUAAGUGAUAAUAAUCCCAAAGGCAAUCAGACAACAAAGGAAGGAAUUCAUUGUUCAUCCCAGAAGGGGAACCCCCCCCCCCGAUUCUCAGAUUCACUUGGCAAUGUCAGACAUACAGCCCUGACCCCCACCGGCCGCGCUGGAGUUCCGUCUGGGCAAAGCCACGGCCCCCGCAGAGCCCCCGGCACACAAGGACGGUCUCUUGUCCCCCCAGCGCUGGUGUCCUCCCGGCUGAUGGAACGGGAGGCUCCUCCCGUGCAGGAGGAGGCGCUGGCUUGGCUGGGGUCCCUGCUGCCAGGGGUGUCCCCACGGGGUGGUGGCAGAGGGGACACCAAGAGGCACGAGCACCUUCAGCACCGGUGGGGUGGGCUCUCGGCUCGCUUGCAAAGCCUCCUUUGAGACGGAUUUUGAAGAUGGAUUUUAAAGUCAAUUAGAGAUGACCUUGUGGCAUCAUGGGAAAACUGACAAAACGCAGAACUGCAUAUUCAUAUCAGUCGUCUAGAUUUCCAUCUGCCUUCAGAAAAUAAUUAGUCUAAUAAACAGUAGAACUUCCGCUUCAGACGAUGUGUUUCUGUAAUGCACUGUGGGUGUUUAUUGCUCCCUGUGUCCCGCGGGUACACCCGCUGGGCACGGACACGCAGAGCCUUGGCCGCCGGGUGCCACGGAGACACCCCGACCUUCCCGCUCACGGGGCUUCCCCACACGCUCCUGUCCCCGAGCACCCCCCGGCGGGGUCCUCAUCCCGGGGGACGCGUCCCCUCUGCGAGCGCCCUGACGCCAGGCAGCGGGAGGCCGGGGACCACCGACUGCGGUCAGCCCCGUGGAUUCGUCACCACCAGCCCCACUGCCGUCCCCCCCGUCCUCUCUGUGCCCGCCAGGGCCAGGAGCUGCGGUGUCCCGUAGGAAGGCCACAGAGCGACGUGGCUUCCUGCUGACUUCUCCAGAACGGACCGCUGUGGUGCGCACGCUGGCAGCCAGCCACAGCGGCAAGCAAGGGGCUUCCCAGCAAAGCCAGUGGCGGGCGAGCGACGGAGGGCAGAGCCCAGCUCGGUGCACGGAUUUGCCCACAGCCUGACGCCUCCAUCCCGAUAAACAUUCGCAGCCGGGUGCACGCCUCUGUCUCGCAUGAAUUUAUCUGUGUAAAGCAUUAUCCGCAGCCGAUUCCACACGCUUAUUGGGGGUGACAUGAAAAAUUAAAUGUAUAUUUUGGUGCUGGUCGGGGGAGUUGAGGGAAACACGGAUCUUAACUCAAAGUUUCCUGCUGAGAGCUGAGUCUGGAGUUAUCUCUCGUUUACGUCUGCACUUGAAAAGAACGCCGCUUUCUGAUUUCCUCUCUUAUUUUCUAGCUUCUGAGGAUUUUGGUUUCAUUUAGCUGUGCAUUGGCAAAGACUUCAGGAGCCCAGAGAGGAGGAUGAGAGGGAGCGAAGGCAGAUCAUUAAGCAGCCCUCAUCGGGCGCCCUUUGAUCUGAGCCGUCCUCACCGAUACCGGGCGGGCAGAGCGCUGCGGGCACGGCACCCCCGGCACUGCCGAGGAUUCGCCAUGUUUCAGGGAUGGGAGCGCAAAGAAAGAGACGCCCGCAAGCGUCUGGGGAGGCCCCGGAGCAGAGGCGGCUCCUCCUGCCCGUGCCCAGACCGGCGCGAGGAGGUGGGGACGGACCCCACGGUGGGGCUGGGCAGACACCCGGCCUCGCAGCGAGGGCGCAUCAACGGCACCAACGGAAAAGGAAUUUAAAGAUGAUAGAAGAUAGUCAGCGAUGUGAGCGCAAGUUCAUCUAAACCAAACUCAUUGAAUUAUUUAUAUAAAGAAAUAUUUUUAUAAUUUCCAGUAAUCUUUGCAUAAUAAUUUUUCUAUUGUUUUAAUACUAAAAAUACGCCCUUCUUGACUGAACACAGCAAACGGUAGAGAAGCUUCUAUUUCCCACCGCAAUUGAGUCUUACUACGUCAAAUCUUUAGAUUUCAGAUGACAGUGGAAAUUAAUAGCAAGAAUAAAAUCUUAUAAUUGAAACUGAAAUGAAACUAAAUCUUACAGAUGGGAUACUAUCUUGAACUUCAGUCUGAGUGUCUAAGGAAUCACUGUGCAUUUUUUCAUUCUUCGACUCUUCUCCGUAAAUGUUUUGACGUGCUCAGAAAUUUAUCUUCAUUAUUAAGGCUGCUAGAUCAUCACAUACUGAUGAGUUCAAAGUCAAAAUUCUUACUUACCAUUUACCCAGAAGUAAGUUUCCAUCUGGAAAUACACAUUACAGGCUUAUUUCUCGUAUUAGUCACAAGCAGCAAUGCCGGGAGCAUCCUGACCCUGCGGGUGCUCAGGGAACGACCCCUGGUCCCACCGGGGCCAGUGCCUGUCGGUUUUAUUAUCCGUACAAGCAAGGUCUGUGGUACGGAUACGGCACUCCUAUAACACGUAUUGUCUGAGUAUUACUCCUGCCUAGAAGCCCUGGUAACUGUUCUUUUUAAAAGAAUAUAUUUAUAGUUUUAGGCCAUAUUGAUAUUUUAGUUAAUAGAUUCAAGACCUUCCCUUUUGCAUCUGUUUCUCCGCAGCCCUGCCCUUUCAGACGUUACAUUUCUCCUGUGUACAGGGUCAGAAGCGUAGGAAAGGAGAGGCUAUGAAAGGGAGGAGGAACGUCUUUAAUUCUGCGCCUUCGUCCCACGGCGGUGUUAUGUGGAUUGAGAAGGCGGCUUCUUACCGGGGUGUGAAAUACGUGGCGCUCCUGUUAACGCUCGGUACGAGCCUUGCAGCCCCCUGUCGAGGCGCCGUGCUGGUGGCGGGACUGGGUCGCUCCGUCUGGUGAGGAUUACUGAAACGAGCCGCGUGGCACUGCUGGUGGUGAGAAACGACACGAAACACCUUUAUUUACUAGUUCCCCUUUCGUGUUUGAGUUUAGGCGCAGGUUGGCUGCAGUGCAGAACGCGGAGCCCGGUGCCGGGCGGUACCAGAGCGUUGUGGGGUGGCUCUUCUCGGUUGGUGAUGCCGGGGGUGGUUGAUUCCUCGGCAAUAAGCAGGAACAGACGGUUUUGUGUGCUAAGACGGAGUCCUCUCCUAUCAGUGGAAGUCACCUCCCGAACAUUUCAGAAUAAAAUGAAUGGUUGAUCUCCUCAAAUCCUUUGCUGCAAGGAGGUUUCCCGAUGCAGAUUACUCUGGACAACGCAGAAGUCAAGGCACAGUAAGGAUCACAAAGGAUGCUGGAAAGCUGUUCCCCGGUCCCACAGGAGAGCUCUGUCUCCCACGAGGCGCACGCUGGGGGUGUCUCAUGGCGCGGCGUUCACCGUUAGCUCUGGCAACGGGACGCUGAAGGUGCAAACCCCUCAAAGGGAGGGAAAUAAAAACCGCAUGUCUCGAGAAUUCCCUCUUCUUCACCUCUUGCAGGGAAAGGGGCCCCAGAUCCACACGAGACAUGUAAGGGGCUUCUCCGGCCUGAUGGAGAACGGCU